GACUCGGUGGCGGAAGGUCCGCGUCUCCUGCUGCUACAUUUGGAUACUAUAGUUGUCGGAGAAGCCGCCCGUUCGAUUCGGGCCCGAGUCA